CGUUUGGUAACUCAUCAACAAAGCACUUAUUUUCAAAGUUGUUGCCAGAAACAGCUGGAAAGUAGAGCAGCUAUUUGCUGCUUUCAGAAAACGGCUUUUUAUCACGGAAACAUGGAUGAACAGUACCGUUUAAUGAAAGUUUUCAAAUGGCAAUGCUACCUCUCGCGCCUCACUUCUCUUCCUUCCUCUGGCAUCUCACUUCACUCCCUCCUGUCUCACUCAUUCGCUCCCAACUCCCAACUCGUCGCCCCAAAACCCAAUCUCCAACCUGAAACUUCCUUCCUCCCAAUGUUCUCUCUCAUUCUCCAAGUUGCGUUCUCCGGCUUGGCGUGCUUCCUCUGAUUCCGGAGGCACAUACUGGGAAAGUUUGGAAAUUGGAUUAUUUUGAAUCACAUCCUGCUUUACUGGUUCUUGCCUUGGUGGGUGACCAGCUUGAUUAUGGAGAGAACAUAUGUGGUGCGGUACUAAGCAUCAUAUUCAAUGAGGAUAUAUCGAGUGUCUGGAACCGGAAUGCUUCUGAUCAUCAGGUUGGU